rnacentral:rRNA from 1 species
CAGUCGUACCUUCGGGUAAUCAGCCUUUCGAGUGCGAUUCUGUGGAGUGUGAGGAGCUAAACACCUUCAUGCCUGCAUAUUCGUGCUCUUGGGUGUACUUGCUCGUGUGGUUGGUUAACAUCAAUUUCGGACGCCAUAAAAUGGCUGGAGGAAUGUAGCUUCGAUCUCGUAUUGAAGUGUUAUAGCCUUCGGUAGAUGUGGUGAUCGAGAUUGGAGGAUUGCAACGGAUACCCUUCGGGGCUACCCGGUCUGAUCUCUGAAGGUUGCUCCGGUGCCGAAAGCGUGCUUAUGGUCAUCGAAAGUGA